GGCCACUGCUAUUGGGAUCCGACUAAGCCAUGCGAGUCGAGAGGGUUCGGCCCUCGGCAGACUGCUCAGUAACACGUGGAUAAUCUACCCUUAGGUGGAGGAUACUCUCGGGAAACUGAGAAUACUACUCCAUAGGUCUAGGAUGCUGGAAUGCACCUAGGUUGAAAGUUCCGGCGCCUAAGGACGAGUCUGCGGACUAUCGGGUAGUAGUCAGGGUAAAGACCUGACUAGCCUACGACGGAUACGGGUUGUGAGAGCAAUAGCCCGGAGACGAUAUCUGAGACACGAUAUCGGGCCCUACGGGGCGCAGCAGGCGCGAAAUCUUCACAAUGUGCGAAAGCACGAUGAGGGGAUCCCAAGUGUUGGUUCGUAAGAGUCAUCUGUUUCUUUGUCUAAAAAACAGAGAGAGUAAGAGCUGGGUAAGACGGGUGCCAGCCGCCGCGGUAAUACCUGCAGCUCAAGUGGUGGCCGCUAUUAUUGGGCCUAAAACGUCCGUAGCCGGUUUAGUAAAUGCCUGGGUAAAUUGUGUAGCUCAACUAUACGAAUACCGGGUAGACUGCUAAACUUGAAACCGGGAGAGGCUAGAGGUACUCCUAGGGUAGAGGUGAAAUUCUGUAAUCCUAGGGGGACCACCAGUGGCGAAGGCGUCUAGCUAGAACGGGUUUGACGGUGAGGGACGAAGCCCUGGGGCGCAAACCGGAUUAGAUACCCGGGUAGUCCAGGGUGUAAACGCUGCUCGCUUGAUGUUAGUCGGGCUCCGAGCCCAACUAGUGUCGGAGAGAAGUUGUUAAGCGAGCUGCCUGGGAAGUACGGUCGCAAGGCUGAAACUUAA
rnacentral:rRNA from 1 species